UACGGAGGGUGCAAGCGUUAUCCGGAUUCACUGGGUUUAAAGGGUGCGUAGGUGGGCAGGUAAGUCCGUGGUGAAAUCUCACAGCUUAACUGUGAAACUGCAUUGGAUACUAUUCGGCUUGAGAGUUGGAGGGGGGACUGGAAUUCUUGGUGUAGCAGUGAAAUGCGUAGAUAUCAAGAGGAACACCAGUGGCGAAGGCGAGUCCCUGGACAACUUCUGACGCUGAGGCACGAAAGCUAGGGGAGCAAACAGG
rnacentral:rRNA from 1 species